CUUCAGUUGUUGCUUGCUCAUCCUUCAGUCACGUCUGACUCUUUGUGACCCUAUGGACUGUAGCCCGCCAGGGUCUUCCUUGGUCAGAGGGAUUUUUCAGGUGAAGCCACACCCUGAAUGAGCUGAACGGUAGUGCUGUGCCUUUCCUGUGUCACUAGCAGAACCAGUGCUGUGAUUCAUGACUGAGCUAUGCCAGGAAAAGUGAGGAAAUGACCCAAUAUUUAUUAGGACUCUUUUGGUUGCAAGUAAGAGAAACUCAUCAUAAACAAUUUUAAACAAAAAUGCAGGACUUCCUUGGUAGCACAGUGGAUGCGAAUCUGCCUGUCAAUGCUGGGGACACAGGUUUGAUCCCUGGUACGGGAAGAUGCCACAUGCCUCAGAGCAACUAAGCCACUAUGCCACACUAUUGAGGCUGAACUCUAGAGCCUGUGAGUCUCAACUACUGAACUGGCAUGCUGCAACUACCGAAACCGCUGUGCCUAGAGCCAGUGCUCUGCAACAAGAGGAACCGCCAUAACGAGAAGCCACCAUUACGAGACGCCAUCGUAAUGAGAAGCCCAUACGCCACAAGGAAGAGUAAUGCCCGCUCAGCGCGACUGGAGAAAGUCGACACAGCAAUGAAGACCCAACACAAUCGAAAACUAAAAACAAAUAAAUAAAUUAUUAAACAAAAACGUAAAUUUAUUGGCUUACAAAAUUUAGAAGUCCAGGAGUAGAUUGCCUUCAUUCAUAAGCUAGAUUCUUGGGCUCAAAUCAUUGGGACUCUGUUUCUCCUGUUUUCUGGACUCUAGUUUUCCCUGUUGUUUUUAUUACUCUCAGGGCCCCCUGGUGUGAUGGUAGAAAUGGGCAGACUCACUCUAGGCCCAUAUUUUAUCUGUUUAGCAGCUCCACUGUAAGGAGAGUGCCUGGUUCCCACAGAAAUCCAAGGCUGACUCUCCUUGCUCCUUCUUGGGACACAUGUCCACCCUUGGGCUGAUGAGCAUGACUCUGAUUGGCCAGGCCUAGGUUACAUGACCAACCCUGGAGUCCAUCAUACCCACACUCACUGAGAAGGGGAGCAAAAUUCCCUAGAAGAAAAUAGGACUACUGUUACCAAAAGAAGGGUGGGUUGACGGUGGUCAGGUGAAAACAACAGAUGUUUACAAGAGGCCUUAAUAUGCUGCCCCUGGGAAGACUAGGAUUAUGUUAGCCAC
ensembl:lncRNA